GUAAAUAUAGUUUACACAAAACAUUAGACUGUGAAUCUAAAAUCAGGGCUUAGCCCUUAUUUACC
rnacentral:tRNA from 1 species